ACAUCUCAUAAACCUACAGUGUCCUGAUUGCGUUCAUUCGUCUGCCAACUGGCAGGCCCCAAGCAUCACAUUUCUACUUCAGUGCUUAGCUUGUUUUGUUUCUUGAAGCUGCACAGAUGAAACCUGAAACCCUUAGCAUGGAGCAUGAAGUCAACACACUCCAGCGUUUCUAGAGCUAAGAGGAGAAUUAAAAAAAAAAAAAAAAAAAAAGUCCUGCCUUCCAAGGGACCCAUAUGGCUUUAUUGAGAUAUAUUUGUAAUUUUUAAAAUAUGGAAAUUCCCUCCUGAUAGCCUCGAUCUGCACUGGGAGAAUUCAAUUGCAGUAAGUAAACCUUUGAAGUUGGUGAUUCUUCCUCACUCAUUCGCUGGCAAGACUAAAAGAAAAGAACCCUUCCUCCAGAGAUUGGAACCCAGGAAUUCCACCCUCUUCAAAAUGAAGUAACCCAAAAUCAGCAACAAGCACGUCAAUGACAUUGUAGGGCCAUGGAGAUCUGGGUUCUGGGUUUGAGAAGCCUGCUCUGGCCUGGACAUAUAACCACUGAACCUUGGUAGUGCUCUAUAUAAAGGAAGGUAAGUGGGGCCACACAGCUAGUGCUGGGAGCAGGUAGCAUUCUUCAGGAGAAAGGGACAGAUGUCUGGGCUUGAAAUAGACCUCAACACUGC